rnacentral:rRNA from 1 species
GUGCUUACACAUGCAAGUCGAGCGGGGUUUAUCGGAUUAGCUUGCUAAACUGAUAAACCUAGCGGCGGACGGGUGAGUAACGCGUGAGCAAUCUGCCUCAUACAGGGGGAUAACAGGUGGAAACACCUGCUAAUACCGCAUAAGACUCCACUACCGCAUGGUAGAGAAGUCAAAGGGCUUACCGGUAUGAGAUGAGCUCGCGUCCCAUUAGCUAGUUGGUAGGGUAAAGGCCUACCAAGGCGACGAUGGGUAGCCGACCUGAGAGGGUGAUCGGCCACACUGGGACUGAGACACGGCCCAGACUCCUACGGGAGGCAGCAGUGGGGAAUAUUGCACAAUGGAGGGAACUCUGAUGCAGCAACGCCGCGUGAGUGAAGAAGGUUUUCGGAUCGUAAAACUCUGUCAUUGGGGAAGAAUAAAUGACGGUACCCAAUGAGGAAGCCCCGGCUAACUACUUGCCAGCAGCCGCGGUAAUACGUAUGGGGCGAGCGUUGUCCGGAAUUACUGG